rnacentral:rRNA from 1 species
GUCUGCUUGAAGCGGGGGUUCCUCCUGCCAAUCUCNUCUGAGCUUUGGAAGCUAAGCUGUCAGUCCUGGUUAAUACAGGGAUAGGAGACCACCUGGGAAUCACCAGAUGUUGUAGGCU